rnacentral:tRNA from 1 species
GGACUUUAAUUUAAGUUUAAAAUAUGUGAUUUGCAUUCAUAAAAUUUAAGUUCUAUAA